rnacentral:rRNA from 1 species
CUAUGUGUUGUUGGGUAGGGGAGCGUUCUGUAAGCCUGUGAAGGUGUGCUGUGAGGCAUGCUGGAGGUAUCAGAAGUGCGAAUGCUGACAUAAGUAACGAUAAAGCGGGUGAAAAGCCCGCUCGCCGGAAGACCAAGGGUUCCUGUCCAACGUUAAUCGGGGCAGGGUGAGUCGACCCCUAAGGCGAGGCCGAAAGGCGUAGUCGAUGGGAAACAGGUUAAUAUUCCUGUACUUGGUGUUACUGCGAAGGGGGGACGGAGAAGGCUAUGUUGGCCGGGCGACGGUUGUCCCGGUUUAAGCGUGUAGGCUGGUUUUCCAGGCAAAUCCGGAAAACCAAGGCUGAGGCGUGAUGACGAGGCACUACGGUGCUGAAGCGACAAAUGCCCUGCUUCCAGGAAAAGCCUCUAAGCAUCAGGUAACAUCAAAUCGUACCCCAAACCGACACAGGUGGUCAGGUAGAGAAUACCAAGGCGCUUGAGAGAACUCGGGUGAAGGAACUAGGCAAAAUGGUGCCGUAACUUCGGGAGAAGGCACGCUGAUAUGUAGGUGAAGCGACUUGCUCGUGGAGCUGAAAUCAGUCGAAGAUACCAGCUGGCUGCAACUGUUUAUUAAAAACACAGCACUGUGCAAACACGAAAGUGGACGUAUACGGUGUGACGCCUGCCCGGUGCCGGAAG